GUAAAGGGCGCGUAGGCGGCUUGGCAAGUCAGAUGUGAAAGCCCCGGGCUUAACUUGGGAAUUGCAUCUGAAACUGCUUUGCUUGAGUCCUGGAGGGGGUAGUGGAAUUCCCAGUGUAGCGGUGAAAUGCGUAGAUAUUGGGAGGAACACCAGCGGCGAAGGCGGCUACCUGGACAGUGACUGACGCUGAGGCGCGAAAGCUAGGGGAGCAAACGGGAUUAGAUACCCCGGUAGUCCUAGCCGUAAACUAUGGGCACUUGGUGUCGGGGGUAUUGAGUCCCCCGGUGCCGUAGUUAACAUGGUAAGUGCCCCGCCUGGGGAGUACGGUCGCAAGACUGAAACUCAAAGGAAUUGACGGGGGCCCGCACAAGCGGUGGAGCAUGUGGUUCAAUUCGACGCAUCGCGAAGAACCUUACCGGGGCUCGAACGGUAGUCGCUACUCCUGGAAACGGGUGGUCCUCGUAAGAGACGGCUAUCGAGGUGCUGCAUGGCUGUCGUCAGCUCGUGUCGUGAGAUGUUGGGCUAAGUCCCGCAACGAGCGCAACCCUUGCCCUUAGUUGCCAUCGGGUAAGGCCGGGCACCUAAGGGAACUGUCGGCGAAAAGCCGGAGGAAGGUGGGGAUGACGUCAAGUCCUCAUGGCCCUUACGUCCCGGGCUACACACGUGCUACAAUGGCCGGUACAAAGGGUUGCCAACCCGCGAGGGGGAGCUAAUCCCAAAAAGCCGGUCCCAGUCCGGAUUGCAGUCUGCAACUCGACUGCAUGAGGUCGGAAUCGCUAGUAAUC
rnacentral:rRNA from 1 species